rnacentral:rRNA from 1 species
GACGAACGCUGGCGGCGUGCUUAACACAUGCAAGUCGAGCGGAAAGGCGCUGCUUUUGUGGGGUGCUCGAUUGGCGAACGGGUGAGUAACACGUGAGUAACCUGCCCUUGACUUUGGGAUAACUUCAGGAAACUGGGGCUAAUACCGGAUAGGAUCUCCUGCUGCAUGGUGGGGGUUGGAAAGUUUCGGCGGUUGGGGAUGGACUCGCGGCUUAUCAGCUUGUUGGGGGCGUAGGUGCUUACCAAGGCUUUGACGGGUAGCCGGCCUGAGAGGGUGACCGGCCACAUUGGGACUGAGAUACGGCCCAGACUCCUACGGGAGGCAGGAGUGGGGACCAUUCGACACUGGGCGGAAGCCGGAUGCAGCAACGCCGCGUGCGGGAUGACGGCCUUCGGGUUGUAAAACGCUUUCGCCUGUGACGACGCGUGAGUGACGGUAAUGGGUAAAGAAGCACCGGCUAACUACGU